rnacentral:rRNA from 1 species
CCUACGGGGGGCAGCAGUGGGGAAUAUUGCACAAUGGGGGAAACCCUGAUGCAGCCAUGCCGCGUGUGUGAAGAAGGCCUUCGGGUUGUAAAGCACUUUCAGUUGUGAGGAAAAGUUAGUAGUUAAUACCUGCUAGCCGUGACGUUAACAACAGAAGAAGCACCGGCUAACUCCGUGCCAGCAGCCGCGGUAAUACGGAGGGUGCGAGCGUUAAUCGGAAUUACUGGGCGUAAAGCGCACGCAGGCGGUUUGUUAAGCUAGAUGUGAAAGCCCCGGGCUCAACCUGGGAUGGUCAUUUAGAACUGGCAGACUAGAGUCUUGGAGAGGGGAGUGGAAUUCCAGGUGUAGCGGUGAAAUGCGUAGAUAUCUGGAGGAACAUCAGUGGCGAAGGCGACUCCCUGGCCAAAGACUGACGCUCAUGUGCGAAAGUGUGGGUAGCGAACAGGAUUAGAUACCCCCGUAGUC